rnacentral:antisense_RNA from 1 species
AUGACUCGUCUCCUCUCAGUGACCACAGGUUGGUUGAGGGGUUUAACAAGGCUAAGAAGGUGAGACGUGGUCUUGUAACACAGUGGUUAAGAAUGUGACUUUGGAGCCAGCCUGCUAGGGGCUGAAUUCUGACUCAGCCAUUUACUAACUGUGUGACCUUAGGGAGGAGGACCUGGUUGAUAGAAGAAUUUAUCUCGUAGUCUUAACAUCCACUGUAAUUCCAAACUUUGAGGACGAUAGAGAUCAGUGGGCUUUGACUGCCCAGCAUGCAGUCUCCAUUCUUAGGUCACAGAAUUUUCCACACUCCUUGACGGAGGUGCUUAACCCUUAUCCAUCAGCAUUCUCAGACAGCACCUCCGGUUAGGGACAGUAUCUGACCGUCCGACAUCCCUGCAGCCCCCAUGUGUCACACAGACUCAGCCUCAGGUAGAUGGUUUCCGUAGAUGGUGGCUUUCUUUGGACCCUUGACAUCAACCAGUUACUAUUUGCUCAGCAAGGCCCACAUUUUCCCGGUGAAGCCACAGAACCACAGGGAGAAACCCAUGGACUUCGCCUCUCUCUCUAGGGGACCAGAUGUGCAGAGGUAAUGAAUACCAGGGAAUCAGGAAACCACUGGAUCAGUUCUUUGAGCCACAGAACAACACUCAUCCCAGCAGCUGGGAAGCUAUCUGCAAAAGUCCAUCUGCAGAAAGGGCUUCCUGGUCUUGCGUGUGGCUGGGCCAUUUCUCUGGAUGCAGGUUUUUCAUUAUACAGUCUUCUCAAAGAAACACCUGCUCUCAACACC